rnacentral:misc_RNA from 1 species
GAUGAAGAACGCAGCGAAAUGCGAUAAGUAAUGUGUAUUGCAGAAUUCAGUGAAUCAUCGAAUCUUUGAACGCACAUUGCGCCCGCCAGUAUUCUGGCGGGCAUGCCUGUUCGAGCGUCAUUUCAACCAUCAAGCCCCCGGCUUGUGUUGGGGACCUGCGGCUGCCGCAGGCCCUGAAAACCAGUGGCGGGCUCGCUAGUCACUCCGAGCGUAGUAAUACAUCUCGCUCAGGGCGUGCUGCGGGUUCCGGCCGUUAAAAAGCCUUAUUUACCCAAGGUUGACCUCGGAUCAGGUAGGAAGACCCGCUGAACUUAAGCAUAUCAAUAAGCGGAGGA